UACAGAGGGGGCAAGCGUUGUUCGGAAUUACUGGGCGUAAAGGGCGCGUAGGCGGCCCGCUAAGUCGAACGUGAAAUCCCCGGGCUCAACCCGGGAACUGCAUCCGAUACUGGCGGGCUUGAAUCCGGGAGAGGGAUGCGGAAUUCCAGGUGUAGCGGUGAAAUGCGUAGAUAUCUGGAGGAACACCGGUGGCGAAGGCGGCAUCCUGGACCGGCAUUGACGCUGAGGCGCGAAAGCUAGGGGAGCAAACGGG
rnacentral:rRNA from 1 species